rnacentral:rRNA from 1 species
UGGGGAAUAUUGGGCAAUGGGGGAAACCCUGACCCAGCAACGCCGCGUGAAGGAAGAAGGCUUUCGGGUUGUAAACUUCUUUUAUGUGGGACGAAAAAAAUGACGGUACUACAUGAAUAAGCCACGGCUAACUACGUGCCAGCAGCCGCGGUAAUACGUAGGUGGCGAGCGUUGUCCGGAUUUCCUGGGUGUAAAGGGCGCGUAGGCGGGAGGACAAGUCAGAUGUGAAAUACCCGGGCUCAACCCGGGAACUGCAUUUGAAACUGUUUUUCUUGAGUGAUGGAGAGGCAAGUGGAAUUCCUAGUGUAGCGGUGAAAUGCGUAGAUAUUAGGAGGAACACCAGUGGCGAAGGCGACUUGCUGGACAUUAACUGACGCUGAGGCGCGAAAGCGUGGGGAGCAAACA